rnacentral:rRNA from 1 species
GAUGAACGCUGGCGGCGUGCUUAACACAUGCAAGUCGAACAGAAAGGCCAGUGCUUGCACUGGUGCUCGAGUGGCGAACGGGUGAGUAACACGUGGGUGAUCUGCCCUGCACUUUGGGAUAAGCCUGGGAAACUGGGUCUAAUACCAGAUAGGACCAUGCUUUGGAUGGUGUGGUGGAAAGUUUUUUCGGUGUGGGAUGAGCUUGCGGCCUAUCAGCUUGUUGGUGGGGUAAUGGCCUACCAAGGCGUCGACGGGUAGCCGGCCUGAGAGGGUGUACGGCCACAUUGGGACUGAGAUACGGCCCAGACUCCUACGGGAGGCAGCAGUGGGGAAUAUUGCACAAUGGGCGCAAGCCUGAUGUAGCGACGCCGCGUGGGGGAUGACGGCCUUCGGGUUGUAAACUCCUUUCGCAACUGACGAAGCUUUUUGUGACGGUAGGUUGAGAAGAAGCACCGGCUAACUACGUG